UUUUUUAAUCUAGUUAGAGUCUUCACAUGCAGCCUAGCACUUCACUUCAAUAGGACCUUCCAAAAUCCCCAAGAUUCCCUCAGCUCCCCUUUCAAAAAUGUCUUGGAAAAAAACCAAACCAGCAACUUAUCUUUUAUUAAAAAAACAAGUGUAAUCAGGUAAUCAAUAUUAACCCUUUCAGAUCUAGCACUUUGUCAUGAAGUUUAAGAACAAACACAGUUCUGAAGUUCUGAUCAUCUUUCAUGGCAUACUCCACUGCCUUUUUCAUGCAUCACCUGAAUCUGAAGCUGCUCACUCAGCUGAGACCUGUGUCACAAGUCAGUGUGAAAAGAGAAUGCAGACAGUGUUCCAGCAGAAAAAAUAACCCCUUGAACUCACAGGGUAAUCAAUGCAAAAAUCAAACUUCUGCAAUGAAUAAACUCAACUAAGACAAAUAAUAAAUUAAAACAAAGAACAGAAUUCUCACAUCUUUGAACUGAGGAAGUACUUUUGCAUCCACUGCAUUCUAAGGCAGAUAUUGAUAUAUAUUACAGUAGUUUGGAUGUGGAUCCAACCUUUCCCUCACAAAAGGUACAUUGCCAGUGGUAGGACAUUAUAAAUGGAGAUAUUUACAUUAUUAGAAUAUGACAAACAAAAUAUACAUUAGUUAUUUAAAAUUUGAAGUUUUCACACAUUCCAUUUGCAGAAAGGAAUCUCAAGAGGGAUGUGAAAGAACAGUAGAAGGCAAAGUCAUGAAAGGGAAAACACUACUGUAUCAGCUUUUAACAUGAUCUUAUGGCUGAAAACAAGGAGAAACGAGCACCAUAUACCAGUUUCUAUAAUAUAAUAAGAAUGCAUGGCUUUCAGUUUAAAGACCUACAUGGUGCUGUGAACAUUCUCAGCUAACUACAGCACCAGAAUAAAGAAGCCCUGAAUUGCCAUUUUACGAGAUCUUCAUUCUGAGACAUACAAGAGGAAAAACCAAUUUGCUAUAGCAAGGACUGUCACAAACUAGGGAAGCUAUUUGUAGCUAAUAAGAAAAAAACCCAGCUGCUUUGAAUUAUAAUCCAGAGAACCCACCUUCUUCCGUGAUCAUAACAGAGAGCUUGCUACUUAGCUUAAAGAGCUUAAGCUUGUAUGAGUCAGACUCCACAGUGUUUAUCAAAACUCUAAUACUCUGUGGUGCUUUAAAAAUAGGAUAAUUUUGUUUUGUUUUAUUGGACUUUGUUAACAAUACACUCUUCAUGUAACAAUCUUGUUGCCAUAAUAAUCCUAAACCAAAAUGUUUAGUUUACUUUGGAUAAUUCUAAAAGUUUUAGAGAAAAAGAUAUUCAGAAUUUUAUAACAAGCAUGUUGCUCCUUCCAAUUCACUUUUACUACUUCACUCACUGUGAUACUAUAACAUUACUAAAUUUCCACUUCUUGAAACAACACUCAAGUUCAGUACAAGUUAAUAGUAGCCCUAUCAUCUGUAACCAGCUUGGAAUAUCUAAGUGUUUAUUCCUAAUGGAACCAGUUCGUAAAAACACUGUUUCUGACAAACUGAACAGCAGUUCUGCAACAGAGGCUGUACCAUAUGGUAAAAGCUCUUUCCUGUCUGGUUGUGUUUUUAUAUUCUCACCCCACUUUUCUUCCUGCUUCACAUGUAUUUUCCCUGCAUACACCAUGACCGUGUAUCAGAAAAAUAAACUAGAAAAGUCUAGCUUAGAUACCAAAUCCUUUUCCAAGUAAGGCCUUUCUUGCAGUAGAGUCUUGAAAAAAAUUCUGUCAUCAGUGAUCUGAGUUCAUAAGACAGUGUCAGAAAUACUGAGCUUACCUGGAACCUCAGCUUUCCCAUCUAGAAGUGGUAGUCUAACACAGAAGACCACUUUUAGCCUUUGUUCAGCACAGCAGAUUCUGGAUUCUUUCUAUCCUCAGCCUCAAAACUGUCAUGGUAACAGGACACAUGGCUCUCAAUGUCUAUACUACUAAAAUUACAAAGAUAAGACUUUCCUCCCAUGAUAAGACUUUCCUCUUUCCUGUCAUGAAGCUGUUAAUGUUGUUGGCUAGAAUGAAAGUACUACUUUUUAACUUUUACUGUUAAACCAUAAAGCUGUAGCAUACAGAAAUUUUAGACCAUGUGCAUGUCAUGGAUUUUUACGGGAAAGGGAAGUUGUAAUCAGAAGACAGGAGGCAAAGCAAAUAAAACUUGACAAUGUGAUACUAUUAUCCUAUUUCCAUGUUUAUAUUUAUAUCUUAUAAGGGAAGCAAUGUGCUUCUUAUCACAUUUCAUAUACAACCAGCACUACAAGUGAGCAAAGUCACUUGAAAAUGAACCUAUCUUGGGGUGGUUCCACAGAGUCAGGAACAUGGAUGGUGGCGGAGGUCACUGACACAAAAGAUCACAGAACAGUGGUGGCCAAGCGUACUAAAAAUAGUGCUUACAAUAUUGAGUAGUCUUCAGUGAGAGGAAUGACAACUGAAGACAGCUGAAUCUUUCACAGGAAUAUAAAUUAUUUUAUAGCUUUAGAUUCAAGAAUAAAUAUCAGUAAUACAGAACCUAAAGUUACAUAUUCAAGUCACUGAUAAAAACAGCCUCUCCUGGAAAAAAAAAAAAAAAAAAAAAAAA
ensembl:lncRNA